rnacentral:lncRNA from 1 species
CCUAGAAAGCCUCCAGUAUUUUGUCACAAUGAAGCAUUCUUUACUGGUUAUUACUCUGCUGGCAUACGUCGCUGUUGUGAAGUGCGUCUUUUGUCCAGCGAGAUUUGUAAAUGGGCGGUGUCUUAUCUUUGGCCGAGUAAUUCUCGAUGGACUAGCAUGGUCAUUCAAUAACCCAUGUGUACAGGUUUCGUGUAAUUAUCAUGGAAGAACAAUUACAGUAAAAGGGUGUCCAGGUAACGAAGCUCCUGGAGGUCCCCAGCCGAUGAACCGUUAUCCUGGAUGCUGUCGCAAUUGUGACCCUUGGUAGAAUUUAAUAAAUUCUUGCAAUACAAGGGAAUGCCAAAAAAUGGCGCU